rnacentral:lncRNA from 1 species
CUUCAUGCAUUCUAUGACAAAACUAUUUCGUGCAAUGCCCAUUUGGCUGAUAGCAUCCCAGGCCCCAAGCAUGAUGGCAUGGUGUAGCUCCUCAUCUUUCAACUUGAAAUGCGGCUUCAAGACCUUAACAUCAGUGGCACAAAUAAUGUCACCAUACUUGUAUUGGCUGAUAGCUUCCCAGGCCCCAACUCUCAACCUCUCACUAAAAACAUUGUUCAAGAUAAACAGAUAUGAGCACUAACCGCUCAAUUCAAUCAAACAGUUGGAAAAUUGCCCGAUUCAAUUUCUUUUCAGGCAACAUGCAUAUUCAGCCCCAUAUAGUCUGUAGGGCUGGCUUACAUCGGCUAACGGAAGUAGCAGGUUGCUUUAAUUGCUGGAAUAAAACAAAUUAAACUAUCAUAAUAGUGAAAUCGGAGGGCCGUUCGGUGAACUCCUAGUUGACAUACAUUUGCGUCAACUAGCGCUGGCUUCGUUGAAUUCAGGCAAAUUGGCCAGCCAACCUUAUUUGUAUUUUUUUCUCCUUGUAUAUUUUUUAAAAGGUAGAUACUUUUAAAACCUAUUGAAAAUAGAAAAAUAUUUUUUGAAAAUUGUUCUGUAG